rnacentral:lncRNA from 1 species
GAAGAAAAGACAAAAGGAUGUGGAACCCGAAUCGGAAGAUUGAAAGCCAUGCAAUGAUCAUGUUUUUUAACUGUGCUUGUAGGUACAUUUGCAGGGUCAAGCUGAAGACAUAAUUGUAGACAAAAGGUAUGAACCAUAGAGAGAUGUAACCGCCGCUAUUUGCUACAGCCUCGUCUUGCCCAAGAAGUUUGAAAAUUUGUGUAGAGAAGAUGAAAAUCGGGAGUAAGACGGUUAAAGUAAUUAAGUCAACGAUCCAUGAUCUUUGCAAGUAAAUGCCCAUCAUGUGGUGUUGACCUGCUCCAAACGCUUGACCACAAAGAGUUUCGGUUGCACUCGACAUUCCCAACUACAGGAUUCCAUUGACAAAGCGGACACUGAGUGUUUGAACAAGGGCAAAGCCGGCAAGAUCUAUGUUACUAAUAUGGCCGAUAAAUGAUUGUGUGACAACAAUAGUUCCAAAUGUGCAUAUUCUUGAUAUGACACUUGGCAAUGCGACCCUCCAUAUCCUUCUUGAUUCGUCCCAUAUUCUCCCUUUCAAAUCACCUUCUUCCACGUCUUCGUCGUGUCGAAGUAACGUUGCUUGCAUUCCAUUUCCAUCUUCCAUGACUGUUGU